UACGGAGGAUCCAAGCGUUAUCCGGAUUUAUUGGGGUUAAAGGGUGCGUAGGUGGCCUGUUAAGUCAGGGGUGAAAGACGGUAGCUUAACUAUCGCAGUGCCCUUGAUACUGAUGGGCUUGAAUGAACUAGAGGUAGGCGGAAUGUGACAAGUAGCGGUGAAAUGCAUAGAUAUGUCACAGAACACCAAUUGCGAAGGCAGCUUACUAUGGUUUUAUUGACACUGAGGCACUAAAGCGUGGGGAUCAAACAGG
rnacentral:rRNA from 1 species